CCUACGGGUGGCAGCAGUGAGGAAUAUUGCUCAAUGGACGAGACUCUGAACCAGCCAAGUAGCGUGUAGGAUGACUGCCCUAUGGGUUGUAAACUUCUUUUAUCUGGGAAUAAAAUGUUCCACGUGUGGGAUUUUGUAUGUACCAUCUGAAUGAGGAUCGGCUAAGUCCGUGCCAGCAGCCGCGGUAAUACGGAGGAUCCGAGCGUUAUCCGGAUUUAUUGGGGUUAAAGGGAGCGUAGGUGGAUUGUUAAGUCAGUUGUGAAAGUUUGCGGCUCAACCGGAAAAUUGCAGUUGAAACUGGAAGUCUUGAGUACAGUAGAGGCAGGCGGAAUGCGUGGUGUAGCGGUGAAAUGCGUAGAUAUCAGGAAGAACUCCGAUUGCGAAGGCAG
rnacentral:rRNA from 1 species